rnacentral:tRNA from 1 species
UGGGCUAUCGCCAAGCGGUAAGGCACAGGACUUUGACUCCUGCAUUCGUUGGUUCAAAUCCAACUGGCCCAG